rnacentral:rRNA from 1 species
UACGUAGGGUGCGAGCGUUGUCCGGAAUUAUUGGGCGUAAAGAGCUCGUAGGCGGUGUGUCGCGUCGGUCGUGAAGACUUGGGGCUUAACCCUGAGCUUGCGGUCGAUACGGGCAUCACUGGAGUUCGGCAGGGGAGACUGGAAUUCCUGGUGUAGCGGUGAAAUGCGCAGAUAUCAGGAGGAACACCGGUGGCGAAGGCGGGUCUCUGGGCCGAUACUGACGCUGAGGAGCGAAAGCGUGGGGAGCGAACAGG